rnacentral:rRNA from 1 species
GACAGAGGGUGCGAACGUUGUUCGGAAUUACUGGGCGUAAAGCGCAUGUAGGCGGCAGCGCAAGUCGGGCGUGAAAUCCCACGGCUCAACCGUGGAAGUGCACUCGAAACUGCGCAGCUAGAGUCCUGGAGAGGAAGGUGGAAUGCUUGGUGUAGAGGUGAAAUUCGUAGAUAUCAAGCGGAACACCGGUGGCGAAGGCGGCCUUCUGGACAGUGACUGACGCUGAGAUGCGAAAGCGUGGGAGCAACAGG